CUAAAAUUAUUGUUUUUAGUGGUAAUAAGCAUCAUUUUAUAAAACAGACAAUACUUUCUAUGCAAUUUAUUCUAGAGAAAUAAACAUCAAAUUUACUUUUAAAAGAAAAAAAAAUAUUUCUCACUCUUACUAUGGCUGAUUCAUUCCCUGAGCAUGAAUGAAUUCUCUUUACCCUCAUUGUUUUUUAAUAUAAAAUGAACUGAAAUCUGCUUAUAGGGAUCUUGAUGGUGAAACUAAUUUUUUAGGUGAAGAACAGCAUUUCCAAAUAGUUUAUUACUUUUACAGUUAUUUCUACCUACUGUGGCAUUUAAUUUUUCAUGUACCUAUCACAAUGCUGCAUAUGGAAGCAGCACUAGUAAAAAGAUAAUUAAGGGGAGGAAACGGAAAUUUUAAAGUGUAUCUUUAUCCAAAUACAAUGAAAGAGCAA